AUUCCUUUAGUAAUGGCGAAUGAACAAGGAACAGCUCAAAUUGACAGUCUGAACCCAAGGUUUCGACUUGCGUGUUCUAAUUGCGUUGCCAAUGCAAGUGUGCAUGUAAGGCUUUUGGGAAAAAGCGGGAAUGAAGGUGAAACUCCUGCGCGGCAUGUGCAAUCUUUCAUGCAAGGCGUGCUCUUAAGAGUCGCGUUCCUUGGCAUUGGAGCGCAAAACGGGUGGUAAACUUCAUCCAAAGCUAAAUAUUGGGUUGAGACCGAUAGCAAACAAGUACCAUGAGGGAAUUGUGAAAAGGACUUUGGAAAGAAAGUUAGAAGUACCUGAAAUUGCUGAAAUCAAAGCAAAUGGCAUGUCUGAAGUCAAGCAAGAUUGCGGUGCGCAGCUUUCAGUCAGCUGGUGUGUAUGCUUAAGCAUCCUAGGCUGUUUCCGCGUACAGUGCGUCUUGCUUUGUAUGUCAAAACCAAGCUGCGGUGCCAAUGUUAUGAGCAUGAGGUAACUACCAUCGCUUGGUGUGAUCAUGCCCACAUCUGGCAUUUGGUUUGGUUGUUGUUGCCAGGUGGUGUGCUACGUGGAAGGCUUAUGCUUUUGGGGUGCGCUUGGCAUUUUCAUUGACCUGACGUUUCAUUUGACCCGUCUUGAAACACGGACCAAGGAGUCUAAUGCAUGUGCAAGUUUGUGGGUUUACAAUUUGGGGCAUAAUGAAAAUGACAGUCGGGAUGUGUGCACCGACAACCGACCAAUCAAUUGUGAGAGGUUUGAGUUUGAGCAUGUUGAUUAGGACCCGAAAGAUGGUGAACUAUGCUUGAGAAGAAUAAAU
rnacentral:rRNA from 1 species